UUUCUACUCCCUCCGUCCGAAAAUACUUGUCAUCAAAAUGGGUAAAAAUAGAUGUAUCUAAAACUAAAAUAUGUCUAGAUACAUUUCCUUUUAUCCAUUUUGAUGACAAGUAUUUCCGGACGGAGGGAGUAUUUG
rfam:Triticum urartu cultivar G1812 contig575385, whole genome shotgun sequence.